AGUGAAGCGGCAAAAGCUCAAAUUUGAAAUCUGGCCUUGCGGUCCGAAUUGUAAUUUGAAGAAGCGACUCUGGACCCGGCCCUUGUCUAUGUUCCUUGGAACAGGACGUCACAGAGGGUGAGAAUCCCGUGCGAUGGGGGUGCCUGGGUCUAUGUAGAGCGUUUUCGACGAGUCGAGUUGUUUGGGAAUGCAGCUCUAAGUGGGUGGUAAAUUCCAUCUAAAGCUAAAUAUUGGCGAGAGACCGAUAGCGAACAAGUACAGUGAUGGAAAGAUGAAAAGAACUUUGAAAAGAGAGUGAAAAAGUACGUGAAAUUGUUGAAAGGGAAGGGCUUGGGAUCAGACAUUGUAUUUCCAUGGCGCUCUCUCGGGGGUGUCCUCUGGGCUUACAGGGCCAGCAUGGGUUCUGCGGGCAAGACAAGGCCGCGAGGAAUGUAGCUCUGCUGCGGCGGAGUGUUAUAGCCUCACGGUACGGUUGCCACGCGGGACCGAGGACUGCGAAUCUAGGAUGCUGGCAUAAUGAUCUUAAGCCGCCCGUCUUGAAACACGGACCAAGGAGUCUAACGUCUAUGCGAGUGUUUGGGUGUAAAACCCGUACGCGGAAUGAAAGUGAACGUAGGUGAGAGCC
rnacentral:rRNA from 1 species